rnacentral:rRNA from 1 species
UGCAUAUCAAUAAGCGGAGGAAAAGAAACCAACAGGGAUUGCCUCAGUAACGGCGAGUGAAGCGGCAAGAGCUCAAAUUUGAAAGCUGGCCCCUUCGGGGUCCGCGUUGUAAUUUGCAGAGGAUGCUUCGGGUGCAGCCCCCGUCUAAGUGCCCUGGAACGGGCCGUCAUAGAGGGUGAGAAUCCCGUCUGGGACGGGGUGUCUGCGUCCGUGUGAAGCUCCUUCGAAGAGUCGAGUUGUUUGGGAAUGCAGCUCUAAAUGGGUGGUAAAUUUCAUCUAAAGCUAAAUACUGGCCGGAGACCGAUAGCGCACAAGUAGAGUGAUCGAAAGAUGAAAAGCACUUUGAAAAGAGAGUUAAACAGCACGUGAAAUUGUUGAAAGGGAAGCGUUUGCGACCAGACUCGCUCGCGGGGUUCAGCCGGCAUUCGUGCCGGUGUACUUCCCCGUGGGCGGGCCAGCGUCGGUUUGGGCGGCCGGUCAAAGGCCCUCGGAAUGUAUCACCUCUCGGGGUGUCUUAUAGCCGAGGGUGCAAUGCGGCCUGCCCGGACCGAGGAACGCGCUUCGGCUCGGACGCUGGCGUAAUGGUCGUAAAUGACCCGUCUUGAAACACGGACCA